CCUACGGGUGGCAGCAGUGGGGAAUAUUGGGCAAUGGGCGCAAGCCUGACCCAGCAACGCCGCGUGAAGGAAGAAGGCCCUCGGGUUGUAAACUUCUUUUAUUCGGGACGAAACAAAUGACGGUCCCGAAUGAAUAAGCCACGGCUAACUACGUGCCCGCAGCCGCGGUAAUACGUAGGUGGCAAGCGUUAUCCGGAUUUACUGGGUGUAAAGGGCGUGUAGGCGGGAGAGCAAGUCAGACGUGAAAUGCCAGGGCUCAACCGUGGAACUGCGUUUGAAACUGGUCUGCUUGAGUGAGGGAGAGGUAGGGGGAAUUCCGUGUGUAGCGGUGAAAUGCGUAGAUAUACGGAGGAACACCAGUGGCGAAGGCGGCCUGCUGGACAGUAACUGACGCUGAGGCGCGAAAGCGGGGGGAGCAAACGGGAUUAGAUACCCCGGUAGUC
rnacentral:rRNA from 1 species